AUUGAACGCUGGCGGCAGGCUUUACACAUGCAAGUCGAACGGUAACAGGCCGCAAGGUGCUGACGAGUGGCGAACGGGUGAGUAAUGCGUCGGAACGUGCCGAGUAGUGGGGGAUAACGCAGCGAAAGUUGUGCUAAUACCGCAUACGUACUGAGGUGGAAAGUGGGGGACCUUCGGGCCUCACGCUAUUCGAGCGGCCGACGUCUGAUUAGCUAGUAGGUGAGGUAAAGGCUCACCUAGGCGACGAUCAGUAGCGGGUCUGAGAGGAUGAUCCGCCACACUGGGACUGAGACACGGCCCAGACUCCUACGGGAGGCAGCAGUGGGGAAUUUUGGACAAUGGGCGAAAGCCUGAUCCAGCCAUGCCGCGUGUCUGAAGAAGGCCUUCGGGUUGUAAAGGACUUUUGUCGGGGAGGAAAUCCCCAGCGCUAAUACCGCUGGGGGAUGACAGUACCUGAAGAAUAAGCACCGGCUAACUACGUGCCAGCCGCCGCCGUAAGAC
rnacentral:rRNA from 1 species